GGGAACACUGUUCAUCAUCCUCUGCACCUUAUUAUCUCACCACGUCAGCAAGAUUCUAACGGCUUCUGACAUUUUCUUCUCUCAUGUGUUGGAUUCAUUUUGGAAUUUCUGAAGAAUGAAUUCCGAAAAUAGGAGCCGUGGAUUUAUUUGAGGAUCAAUCCUCACCUUCCAUCUGUCAGAGUUCAUUCUAGAAGAGAUUUACUUCCAGAUUUCUUGUGAAAAACGAAAAAUUUCAAGACAGGGGGAUAUAUAUCCCAGGUCUGGUUUGAGGCGAGGGAGAGGAUUUUUGGAGGCAGAGGUCACUUGAGAAAAUUAGGUUUCUAGAAAAAGCUUCUUUUGUUCAUCUGCAUUUUUCUUGGUUUUAAUUCCAGUCACAAUAGAAAAAUACAAAAAAAGUUUUGUUUCAUUUAGUUUGAUAUUAGCAUCUCUGUUCUCUUCAUCUCUAAAUUCAGAAAUUUCACCUUUAUUAUUAGUUUAGACUGAGUUCGAGAGCUGAGGUUUGUUCGAAGGUCAUGAUUUGUGGUUCCGAGAUUGAUUUGUUGUUUUUGUACGUAUCAAAUUUUUCUUUCGCUACUGUUUCUG
rnacentral:lncRNA from 1 species